GGUUGGGCUGAGGACUGAAGCCACGCCCUGCAUGCGCUAGCUCCUGCCUCUGCUCCUGAUUCCAGUGUGGAGCGGAGUGUGGGCUUACAUCAACCGGACAAAUAACUGCUCCUGGAGGAAUUCCACACCUGAGCAGAACAGAGGUGCAGCAUCCAAUGGAUGACUCCAGCUGUGCCUGGGGCAUAGGAACUGAAGAGUUGAGGGGUACUGCAGAACCCACGUGGAUUUGAGCUGUUUCCUGCCUCUGAACUAGAAAGCUUACACCUCUGAUUGGCCCUAGAAGCCUAAGGGGGCAGUGAAGAAACCUGAGUGAAAAGACCUUUGGGUAUAGGAAAAUUGCUGAACCUUUCUGAUCAGUGGGGUAAUCUCUUUUCUCUUGCAGCCCCCUCUUUUUAGGUGGGUUUAACAAAGGCCAUUGCUUAGUUCCCUGACUUCAAAGCCCUAGCAGCCAAACAGGGAAGGGAGGCCUUGGAUUUCCAUUCUCAGGGAAGGCAGGAACUGAGGUCCUCUACCCAGCCCGGCCCACCUCUUCUGGUCAACAGUGGUAGAAGGCUCAGGUUUCUCCUUGUUCUCAGAGGAGGCAUUAAGGGUAAAGGAAUGCAGACUCUGCCUAAAACUGUGUUAAGAGGCUUUGCAGAGCAAGUCUGGGGAGAGCCCUCCAACCCCAACCAGCUGCAGCCCAGCCCAGCCCCCAAUGGGGAGGAAGAGAAAGAAACCAGUGUGCAAGCUGGAGGUCUUCUUGAAUGUGCUUCAAAAGGUGCCACUCUCGGUUUCUCUCAAGAAGACAUCAAGGUGGAGCUAUCCCCAAGCCUGUGGCUGGAGAUCUGGGUCCAAGGCUAGCACAUACUUAACUUGGCCAGUGGCCUUGGAAAGUCAUCGCUUGUUUUCAACCUCCUGAUGUGCAUCAAGGUCCAGCUCAAAGAUGUCUUUGAUCCUCCUGCAGUCGAGCAUAGAUCCCCUUUGUUCUCCAUCCACAUCCUGUUUCUCCUUUUGAAACUUAAUGAGGUUUGUAAUUGCCUGUGUUGUUGGCUUGAUUUUUAUCUGUCUCUAAUCUCAAACAUAACCUUCCUAAGGACUGGGCCUUGAGUGUCUUGCCUGCCACUUAACCUCCCUGUAGGCAGCACAGGGUCCCUGUGAAUGAAUGAAUGAAUGAAUGAAC